rnacentral:lncRNA from 1 species
CCAAAUUCAAAUGUUCUUAGUAAUAAAGUUGAAAUAGUUAUAAUUGAUUAUAAAUCCAGAUACAUCAUAAAAUCUUAAAAACUAAAAGUAAUGUCAUAUAACAAUUUAAAAACAAAAUACAAAACUAAUAUCCUAAAUAUUGCUGGAUCUUGAUAAUCCUCUUGCACUCAAAGGUGCUUUAGACAUACUUGUACCAUCGUUUGUCUGAAAUAAUAAAAUAAAAUAAAAAUAUUAGUUGUAACAAAUGUCCUAUAUUUUUUCUCUGAAGGUUAGUAUUUUUCAUGCUCCCAUAUUGUUACAUUUGUGCUUUGCCACCUAGAGUCUCCCGACAAUUGUUCACUUCUUCCUUAACAAAUGACUAGUACAUGUGUGCUCGACUCAAUUGAGCUAGCCUCACAGAAGAAUACAUAGCCAUUUAUUUACACAAGACCUUGUUUUUAUUGCUUCUUUUAGUCAUUUGGUCUUUUAGUCUUAUCUGAUUCAUUUUUAUACUAAGCCUGAAGGUGGAUCAUAGACCCUUCGGAGAAGUCAUGCACAUUUUAGUUAAUGGUGAUUAAAUAUAGAAGCAUAUAUCAAACGUUGUGUUUUGAGCAUAAGAGUAGUCAGUCAGAUUACUUGUGUUGACUGAAAAGCAGGUAGUAUGAAAACUAAGCUUCAAGUUAACAGAUUGACACAAUUAAUGCAUUAUUGUCCUCUUCACUAUACAUGGGACUGCAAAAAAACAACAGAGUUUAAUUACAUGAGACUAUAAAACACGCCACUCUUGCUAAAAUAAGUGAGGAACAUAACUACCUUUUCCAUCACUGUGAGUGCCUUAGGAUCUCUAAGAGGCCAGGCAAUCUCUUCAACAUCAUCAAUCGCAAGUUUUAGUACAGCCUUCAGGACUUCCGUAGAAGACUCUAUCUUUUCCUACAUAGCAUGAUCAAGAUUACUAGUCAGAAGAAACAAUAAACAAAGUCAAAGAACCUUUGAACAAUGGCCCAAGGAGUCAAGAGGGGUGGGUACUUUAGUCUUAUUAACCACGCGAUGCACCACAGUCAUAAUAGUUGUAAAUAUAUGUGCUUUGCCACCUAGACGUAUCUCAUUUGGUUAAAACCCUCAUAGUCAUAGAUGUGUUUAACCACUUUGGACAUGAAAUUUGUAUCUUAAACUAACUACUACAUUGCCACUUUCAACUUCUUUUUCAUCUGCACACAAGACUCAUUCCAGCCUGAAUACUUUUAUGGAAUCACUUUUAGACAAAUACAAACAUUGACUUAUAAUAUUUUAUUUGACCUCAGAGUGCUACAACUGACCAAGGAAAAACGGUAUGUAACUAUGUAUAUUACCAAAUGAUCUUAACGAAUUAACAAUGACAGAGUCCUAUGUAGUGUUUAUGUUUAUUUUAUUUAUUAUGAGAUUCACUAGCAGAAUGACAUUCCCUUCAAAUUGAAAAGGCCUUAGCAUGAUUCAUUAAUCCAUGUUAUGGACACAUGCAUAUAAAUCAUACAUUUUCAUUUUCAAUGCUCCAUCCAGUUUAUCAUUCAAUGUAAGCAUUUUUGGGUGAAAUUGUUAAUGGUAAAAGGUUGAGUAUUAGGUUAAAAGGCAACAAGGAUCAUUUAUAGAAAAACAGACGAAAAAAUGGUGACAAGGCAAUUUAAGCAUCAAAAUAUAUUGACUAACUGAAAAAACUCUCAGUAGAAUGUGAUGAAUUCAUGUAAAAAAGGCUUGUUCAUGUUCACUGUGUUUUAAGCCUCAAAAGAUUAGAAAAAUAAUAACAGAACAUCCAAAAUGCCAAAGGCUAAGUUAUUAUCAUGUUUCUAAUAACACAAUCAAGUUGGAAUAACCAGAACAAGAUCAUAAUACACUAUAAGAUUGGCACCAGAAACAACAAUAUAUCACGCAUAUAGAUCUAAUAUAUGCUAAAUCAUAAAUGAUAAAUGGUUAUUUGUCUAUUUGAAAUACAUGAAGAUUCUCUAUAACAGAGAAUAGUGAGUUCCAACAAGAAAAAGAAGGAAAUUGAAUUCAAAAAGCUGCAUAAUUAAAUUUUACUAUAAUGCCUGAAAUGAGCACUCCAACUUAAAAUUUAACUUUUGCAAGAACUGUACAACUAUUUGAGAAGAGAGAGAUAGUGCCUAUAAGACAAUGUGCUAUAAAGCUCCUAACAAAGGCAGGGUAGCCUAAAGUUAGCCUAAAGUUCACCUAGGAUUACCAAAUUCAUUAACCUCAGAGUGCCAAAACGGACCAACGAAAAACAAUUUGUAACCAUGUAAAAAGUUCAUGUGACACCUAAGAAAAUUUAAAGGAGUAUUACGCAACAGACAUCACAAACUAAAUACCUCUAGAUGAAUAUAUCAUCUUAAGAGUGAGGAUAGGAAGAGAAUGAAGAUAGGAAGAAGACUAGUUUAUAUGUCAUGGAUUAUUCAAACCAUCAAACGACUAACUGAUUAUCGCCCAUGUAGGAAUAGCAAAUUACAUAUUACACAUUAUAACCCUUAAUCACUUGCUCUAAGAGGAUGCAGAUUAAGGCAUCUAAAACGACGGUCUAGUGCACAAGACUCCCAUCUAGUGGGUUUUUCGCAUCCUUAACCUCACAAGUGAAAAGGUUGUUUCCAGGAUUUGAAGGCAUAACCUUCAGGUCACAAGGCAAGCAACCUUACUAUUGUGCCGAGGCUCACCCUCUAUACAACUUAAGGAAUGUACACUGACCUCACCUAAAGUUUAGCUCAAUUGCACUCAAGACUCUUAUUAUUUCAAAAGUUACACUUUGGAUCAAUUUAACCUCCAUCACCUCCUAAUCGAAAGUAAAUGUUUGAUAAUAUUAAAAAUGAAAGGAGUUGAGUGCAGGGCUUUGAAACAAUCAGUAAUCUGAGUGUGGUUAAACCAAGCCUCGAGAAAAUUAGUGUAAUUUCCCUAAAAUAUAAAAUUCUACAUCAAUACUUAUGUCAGGCUGGAACAAAAACAUAACUUCAUUUUUUAUGCCAUAUAUUUUAUCUUCCAAUUACCAAAUAGCAUAGAAAUAUGAUUACAUUGGUGCAACUAGUAACAUACUAAACACUUCAUCAAUUCCAUAUAAAACAAUGAAAGUAGAAACCUAAUAGACCUUGAAGCAGCUAAACAAAAAUUGCCACAACAUAUUAGGUUAAUCAUUUUCCACCCACAAGUCUAUGAAAUCACGCAAGGUGAACAAAAAACGAAAUGUAGAAAAAAAAUGAAGAGAACGAUGCCAGUUACCUGAUGAGAGAAAAAAACGAAAUAUAGAAAUGAGAGAGAAAGUGUGUAAGCAAAAGAGGAUAAGGAGAGAAUGAAGAUAGGAAGAAGUUA